GGAUUGCAGCUCAGUGGUAGAGUGCUUGCCUCUCACAUGUGAGGCCUGGGUUCGAUCCUCAGCACCA
rnacentral:tRNA from 1 species